rnacentral:piRNA from 1 species
UCUGUUUCCCAAGGCAAAGCUUGUGA